rnacentral:rRNA from 1 species
GACGAACGCUGGCGGCGUGCUUAACACAUGCAAGUCGAGCGGAAAGGCCCCUUCGGGGGUACUCGAGCGGCGAACGGGUGAGUAACACGUGAGUAAUCUGCCCUUCACUUUGGGAUAACCCCCGGAAACGGGAGCUAAUACCGGAUAUGACCACCGUCCGCAUGGGCUGGUGGUGGAAACUUUUUUGGGUGGGGGAUGUGCUCGCGGCCUAUCAGCUUGUUGGGGGGGUAAUGGCCUACCAAGGCUUUGACGGGUAGCCGGCCUGAGAGGGGGACCGGGCACAGUGGGGCUGGGACACGGCCGCGACUCGUACGGGAGGGAGCGGUGGGGAAUAUUGGGCAAUGGGCGGAAGCCUGACUCAGCAACGCCGCGUGAGGGAUGACGGCCUUCGGGUUGUAAACCUCUUUCAGCACCGACGAAGCGCAAGUGACGGUAGGUGCAGAAGAAGGACCGGCCAACUACGUGCCAGCAGCCGCAGUAAAAC